GGGGCAAGGGGAGAAUGGGUGGAGAGGGGAAGAGUUUAUAAGAAAACGUUCAAUAUGCUUUCCUGGAAGCCCAGAGGUGGACUACCAUAAAGUGAAAGCGCACCGAGAGUUCUUCGUGGGCAUUGUGCAAUCAAAGGGUUUGGUUUGGUUUUGUUUUAAUGUUUAAACCACCUCCAAAAGUUGCUGCAGCAAUGUUUCCGGCGGGGCAUUAACAAAGUUUAAAAAACAAAACAAAACAACAACCGUGUUCACUUUUUGCUAACGAAAUUACCAAUCUCCAACGGCAUGCAUUCAGAUAUUUGUCACUAAUUAACCCCAAUAAAAUUUAAUUUCUCUUCAAAUCUGCAGCACAAAAGACCUAACCCCAAGACCUUGCUGCAAAUUCUGUUUGUGCUGUCUUUGCAAAUCUUAGUUCCUGGACUCUCUUGUGUUCCAACACUGAGAGAAGCAAACUUUAACAGUGCUACUGUAUCAUCUCGAGCCGCGGACUUACGAGUUACUUUUUUCAACCAGGCUGUGUUCGAUUCAACAAAGGAUUGUGUUUCGGGCCAAUACACUGUUGCGAGCUCUCCCGACAAUUCCGCACAGAAUCACCAUGAAGGAGAUUAAUCUGGAGGCUUUAAUCUUGUGAAUUUCGAAGUCACAAGAGUGAGUCAUCUGGCAGUCCCAGAGUCAAGUCUAUGCUAGAUUUUGCAGACAGUCCAACAUCCAAAGAGUAACCUUGGGACUCAGUCCAGAGGUACCUGAGGUAAAUUUGUUGAUAGAUCAACAACACUGACAACCAGAGAGAGAUAACUGGCGAUGUGAAACUGAGCACCACUUUUUCUUUCUAGGAAUCCUAUUUCCUUCGUAGUUAUUAUGUACUUAUGUUUUAUUCUGUAUUAUGGUUAUUUGUUUACAUGAUAUACCUACCCACUGGAUUGUUAGGUUCUUGAGGAUAGAGACUGCGUUUUAUUUACCUUGGUUUUUCCAUCCACCCUGAGCUUAUCAUAGUGCUUUUUCUUUAAUUAAUUCUGCUGUUGAAUUCAUCUGGCUCCUAUCCCCGACUGAGUGCCCCAGAGACAA